rnacentral:rRNA from 1 species
AUUGAACGCUGGCGGCAGGCUUAACACAUGCAAGUCGAGCGAGCGGCGGACGGGUGAGUAAUGUCUGGGAAACUGCCUGAUGGAGGGGUAUAACUACUGGAAACGGUAGCUAAUACCGCAUACCAUCAGAUGUGCCCAGAGGGGAUUAGCUAGGAGGUGGGGUAAUGGCUCACCUAGGCGACGUUCCCUAGCUGGUCUGUGAGGAUGACGAGCCACACUGGAACUGAGAAACGGUCCGGACUCCUAGGGGAGGCAGCAGUGGGGAAUAUUGCACAAUGGGGGCAAGCCUGAUGCAGCCAGGCCGCGUGUGUGAAGAAGGCCUUCGGGUUGUAAAGCACUUUCAGCGAGGAGGCGUUACUCGCAGAAGAAGCACCGGCAAAGUCCGUGCCAGCAGCCGCGGAAUUC